AACAAACAAAACCAGCAGAGUGGCUCAACACUGGCAGUUGACUGUCCUGGUGGACAUUCAGAGUGGACGGACACACUGGACAGAACCAGAACAGGACCUUGGAUCUUCAGCUGUACCCAGUCUAAAAUCUGUCCUCAAUUCUAACACUACUUUACUGCUCUUGGGGAUUCCCCUUCACAGUGAAACCUCCUCUUCAUCAGCCGAGACAGCAGGCAUCCUCCACUAACCUACCAGCUGCCACAGAGGAAACACAACGUUCAUCAAGGUGGGAAGCAGGCAGACUUGGGGUCGUGGGGUGAGACAGGGAUGCAGCUUAAGCCCCCCCCUCUUCAACAUAUAUAUCAACAAAUUGGCAAGGGCACAAGAACAGUCUGCAGCACCCGGCCUCACCCUACUAGAAUCUGAAGUCAAAUGUCUACUGUUUGCUGAUGAUCUGGUGCUUCUGUCACCGACCAAGGAGGUCCUACAGCAGCACCUAGAUCUUCUGCACAGAUUCUGUCAGACCUGGACCCUGACAGUAAAUCUCAGUAAGACCAAAAUAAUGGUGUUCCAAAAAAGGUCCAGUCGCCAGGACCAAAAAUACAAAUUACAUCUAGA
rnacentral:lncRNA from 1 species